UGUCCUGUGACUAAAUUUUUAUGAGAAACAAAUUUUUAUAUGAAGCGGUUAACAAGGAUUUUUUCACAUUAAAUCGGAAGGGAGACUCUCGGCUGGAACGUCGAGCAAGUAAGACGUGUUUAUAAACGCUCCGGCCUCGUACAAAUUCUCGAAACUAAUGGUCUCCUAAUAUCCAUAAUUUAUCUACAAUAAAGGGUAUUGGCUCCAACAGAACGGCCGGAUUUCUCUCAAGUUACUUCUGACUACAGGGGUAAUAGACUUAAACAACACGAUCAAUUCACCAAGACCCAGCUACUCCCAAAUUAUCGAAGAAUCAAGUCUGCCGAAAAAAGAGCAUUCAAUCGUCCUUGAUGCCAUUCCUGGAAUUAGAGUCAACGAGUACCUUUUAGCACUAAGUAAAUUUUGGAAAGAGAGUAAGAUCAAGUCAAUAAGAUGCCCCCAAAAUUGCCCAUACACUACGACAAUGAAGUGUUUUAUUUGUCGCAAGCCGGGAUGACACAGAGCCAGAGAGUGUCCCACGGUUACAAGUUCUGCUGAAGCAGUGGGCGAAGACGAGGAAGACAUCGACUAUUACGAAAUUACCGAUAUAAUGUUGAUCGAUUCCUCACAUGAGAACAAUCUAGGUUUUGACAAUCAAUCACAAUACGAUGUCAUCCCAGGCGAUAAGACCCCACCAUCGAUCAUUCGUGCGAAGAUACAAUCGCAGCCUCAUCAAUGUCAACAAAUAAUCUAGGAGAGAGAAACAUGCGACGGCCUCUGAACGAGACACAUCACUAGCACAGCCCCGUCCCGUAAAAUCCUCGCCGGAGAGACGCCAAUCGCCGAAAACAAGUUCUCUAGCUGCAGAGGCACUAGGGAGGAGAUAACUCCACCUUCAGCGGACAAGCUGAAGGAGAUCAUCGAUGUUCAGAUAUCACCAUUCGAGAGUACAUAUAAUAGAGAUGAGUCUAGUUUCCCCAUAACAUACGAUAAUAUUAAAGUUUUCUAUUCAGAAUAUAUGGACAGCCUGACACUAGACCUAUUAGUGAAGUAAUAACGGACAGAACUCUCAAAAGUCAGAUUGCCAGAAUUUCCAAAAAACUUGACACAGUGUAUCCCAUAUCUCUGUCGCUGAGUAAUAUUAGUAAUAUCUAAGCAAACAGCAAUCAAUAUUAAAAUCAAUGGCAAUUCCGGACAACAAUUUCUCGAAUAAAUUGCCUAUUCUAUACUGCAAUUGUUGCAGCCUUCAGCUGAGAAUGAAUGACUUACUUGCUAUCUCUCAUCAAUUAGGUGUUAUCGUUUGCGUGGAAAAACAUAUACAAAUAAAUUCGAAAUUCCAGCCCCGAAUUCCGGGAUUUGAGAUUAUUACAGAGGACAGAAGACGCUCAGCGGGAGGUGAUGUGUUGAUUCCCAUUAGAAAUAAUAUUGCUUACCAGCAAAUAGAAACUCAGAGGGUUUCUGAAGAUGUCAUUGAAACUAUAGGAAUAAAUAUCACCAACGGCAAACCUACGUUAAGCCUCGUGGCAAUGUAUAAACCCCCAGAUAGUAUCGUAUCUCACAAAAUAUGGCAUCAAAUUUUUUCAAUUAAAGACUUAGUAAAUAAUGUAAUCAUCAUGGAGGCUUUUAAUACCUGGAAGACGGCCUGGAAUUAUCGUUUCACCUCUACCAGCGGUAGUCGACUUUUUGAUGUGAUUAACAGUGUCAGUGAUUGCAUCAUGCAUAAUAGAGAUACAAUUACGAGAGUGAGCCAUCAGAGUGAAUCUAACAUAGAUUUAAUGUUCACCUCAGUGUCGAUAUCUGACAAAGUAACGGUUCAGGUAGAACAGGAAACCGGGCUUUUUCACCAUUUCCCACUUAUCGUUGAAUUGAACAUAGGAAAAAAUAUUUUACACCAAAAAUCUCAUAAAUUAAAUUCUGAGAAGACAAACUGGGAAUAACUCGCUGAGAAGCUUAAAUCCACGCACCAGUACUUUCUGGAAGUCCAAUUCGAAUCUCUAUCUGCGAAUGGCAAAUACAAUUUUUUUAUUAAUCAUCUCUCGCAGACAAUUGGAAUGUUCACCCUGGAAAGAUCAUCUGCAAUACGAAUCCAAAAUACCAGAAAUCCUUGAUAUUCUCAGUUCACCUUGGUGUUCGACGAAUCCGGGGGAUGUUCCCGAAUGCCAAGAAAAUUAAAUUCUGAACUGAACGUUCAACUUUGUUGAGUUUAAUCAGGACUUGAGAAGGCGGAUAAAUAAAUCUUUGCCUGGCCUGCAUGGCAUCAAUUACGGCGUUAUAAAAAGACUUCCGGUUCAAUAUCAUUGAAUCUUAGUUGAUAUUUUUAAUCAUAUGUACACCAAUGCUGAUUUCCCCAAAAGCUCCAACUCUUAAUAUAUUAAUUUCAUACCGAAACCUAAUGGCCUUAACCACAGACCUAUUGUUCUCUCGUCGUGCCUAUGCAAGCUGUUCGAAACUAUGGUUAAAAAUCGGUUUGAUUGAUGGAUAGAAAGUAAUAAUUUGCUCCCUAACAGCCAAAGCGGCUUUAGAAAUGACAGAUCGACCUAUAACAACCUAAGUAAUAUAGUCUUACUAGCGGACCCCGCCACGCGUGGCUGUGGCUAAGGUUUUUGUUAUAUUACACUGUACUGAACUAUUUAGGAGGAACGGUAGGAGAACAUCAGUCAGGGUGAUCACCAUGCUUUUGCAGCUCUGUCUCCAAUGCUGUACACCCUCUACGUUUCUCAAAUUACUGAGGGCAUCAAUAGUAAGGUUCAAAACUCACAAGUUUGCCGAUGAUCUAGCGCUGUAUAUGUCGCCCUUGUGUUUCCAAAAGCAUUCAAAUCAUCGAGGAAUCUACUAGAAUCAUAGACGCUAAUUUGAGGAGACUUGGCCUGUCCUUGGCACCCCAUAAAACUGAACUUGUUCACGUCUACAAACGAUGUAAUCCUCCCAGGGACAGCUCAAUGUUGAUAGAAAAUUUGUAAUAUCAAAUGUCGCACUUACCUUCUGUUCGGUCGCAUAUAUAUAACCCUCAAUUGUUAUUUUUUAGACAACUGUGGAAAACUGUUCGUUUCCAAAUUUUCCUCUUAUGUUAUAAAAUAAUUAGUAAUUUUAAUCCCUUGCCAGGCGACUUAAAGCACGUACAAGUCGUCACAGCAUAAAAUUCUGCUUCUUGAGAAAACCGUGGCAACUCUUUCCCACGGUUUUAUCUAUUGUCUACAAUAUUUCCCAAAAUUCUUAAGAGCUCUAAAAGUUUUCACUAAUGUCCUCUUCCCAAGAAUUUAUGAGGACCCCCUUUUUUUUUGCUACUCCGCGUCACAGCGAUGGGCCCAACAUAGCCAUCUGCGACGCGGCAGAUUUACACCCUGCAAUAAUUUUUCCUUCAACCAGGAAAUUUUUCUUUUCCCCUCUUCCUACCAGGGAACAAUUACUUACACCCACUCUUCAUUUUUGUAUUUUGAAGAAUUUGUAACAAGUUAGUACACCAAAAGAGUUCGAAGUGAUAAUCUCGAGCUACAACCCUCUGUUGUAAUCCAAAAAUCUGAGAAAACAUCUAUCGUGCGAGAAUUAUUGCAAUAAGUUUUUUAAUAUUGUGUGUUACGUGCGAACUAAUUUAUUAAUCUUGUAAUUGUCUGUUCUUAUAAAUUUUUAAACAACCAUUUCUUAAAAUAUAAUCUAAGCUUUUUGGUAAAUCGUGGCUAAUUAUUAAAAACCUACUAUCCUUCUGCUUUCGGGUCACGCGUCGUUGGCAGCAGUACGGAGACAAAACUAACCUACAAACAAUUGUAUACUUGGGCCUUACAACCCAAGGAAGGGUCGACAUUAAACUCAACUCGGCUAUCGCGUUAGUUACCCCGUACAGUACAGAUGUUUCUAACUGUAGAUGAUGUCAUCUCGGUGAUUCAGGCAUAUAAUAAUCUAAUAUAUUUAUAAAAUUGAUAGGUAAAUAAACAAAAGUAAUUAAUUUGUUUGAAAUGAUGAAAAUAAUUCAAUACUGAAACAUUCAGAUUUGUGAUACGUCCUGAAACCAUUUGCAAAAUUAUAUGUUCCUAAUUUUACGUGGAAAGGCGAUUUAAAAUUCACACGAAAAGCCAGAAUUCGACUUCUUUUCAAAGUACAUAUAAGCAAAAUUUUAUAAUUUCAUUCUCAGGUCUUUUUCCGGUUCAAUCUGAAAUCAAUUGAGUUACAUCCCUACCUCAUCAGAAAUGGUUCAUAACCCCGUGUAAUGGCUGAGAUCAUAUCAGGAAGAUAAGAAUUUGAUCCGUUUUAGUCAGGUGACCUGAUAUCAAAUUAAGGCCAUGCUGAUCAAAUCCAAACCUGAUCAUAAUUCUGUAGUGAAGUGGUGAACUAGGAUAAGUGCAGAAAUCCGAAUUUUUCAGGAGAGCUGAAAAACGAUUUGCAGCAUUAUAAGGAGGAUUUUCACGCAUCCAAUGAUGGAUAUUUAUUUAUUGCUCCAUUAUUUGUUAACAACGAUGGCACCAAGACUUUUUACUAGAUUUGACGCCUAAGUCACGCACUUAUCCUCACUGUCAUGAUUUCCAACAAAAGUUAAGUCAACUUAUCUUCCUCGGCAAUGAAAAUGGAAAGAGAUAUGUUGACUUAUCCUCUAGUUGUUGUCAGGGCAAUAAUCAGUUACUAAAUUCCGUCGAAUUGUGUACGAAAAAUUUUAUUUAUGUAUUUAUGAUACUCCAAUUUCAAUGGUAUUACACUGAUCAUAUCUAUCCCUUUUUAAUCAUUGUAUUCACUUGAUGAGAUAAUUCCUGGAUCCGUUAGGGGGUUAUCCUCGGUAUCAACAAUAAGAUCCCUGUAAAAACACUGCUCCAGGUCAAACGUCGUGACAAUUAUUCUACCGUCACUGUUUUGGGUGAUUUGCUUGUCAGUGACUUUCAUGUUGUAUGGUGCAUUGGCCAUAUUUAAAUGAGAUUCCAGUUGUUCCUUGGCAUAAGUCUUCUCUAACUCGGUAGUAGCUGAUUUCAGUUGAAUCUGCAAUUGAUUGCAGGUUCUGGACGUGUCAGUUUUCGGUUCCUUGAAUGAUAAGCCAAGCGCCUUAAUCUGUUGUUGAUAUGACCAUCUGGAAACGGUUUGAUCAGGAUAUGCUUCCUCAUACAGUUUAAACAUCUGAGUCCGGGUCAAGUGAGAAGGUAGAAAUUUCUUGGAGGUUUUGCUGCGAGAAUAGUGCGACUCACAAGCCGGGAAACUCAGUAUGUGAUUUCUAACUACUGUCCCGUAAUCCUCAAACAAUUAUUGCUGAUUUGUUUGAAUAAAUUGUCAAGUGCUGGAUUUGAACCAGGUAUGUUUCGAGCGCCUUAUUUUCAGAGGCAAGCCCCCGCAACGAACUACGCCAAGGAUCGCUUUAAGUUGAUUUCAAACAAUGAAGCAAGUCGUAUAAAUAUACUAAGAUAAGUCAACUUAUCCUUUCCCAGCCACUCAACCUCCGAGGAUAUGUCAACUUAUCUUCAUUUGCGCUGUCAUAAUUUCACUUAUCCUCCUCAUUUUUGUUCACUACUGGCACCAACAAUUAAUUUUCAGCGAAAUACUUUUGUGAGGACCUCCGGAACAAUGUUAUGUUUCAAUUUAAACAAAGAACCCAUUU